GGGUUGUGAGGUUAAGCGACUAAGCGUACACGGUGGAUGCCCUGGCAGUCAGAGGCGAUGAAGGACGUGCUAAUCUGCGAUAAGCGUCGGUAAGGUGAUAUGAACCGUUAUAACCGGCGAUUUCCGAAUGGGGAAACCCAGUGUGUUUCGACACACUAUCAUUAACUGAAUCCAUAGGUUAAUGAGGCGAACCGGGGGAACUGAAACAUCUAAGUACCCCGAGGAAAAGAAAUCAACCGAGAUUCCCCCAGUAGCGGCGAGCGAACGGGGAGCAGCCCAGAGCCUGAAUCAGUGUGUGUGUUAGUGGAAGCGUCUGGAAAGGCGCGCGAUACAGGGUGACAGCCCCGUACACAAAAAUGCACAURCUGUGAGCUCGAUGAGUAGGGCGGGACACGUGGUAUCCUGUCUGAAUAUGGGGGGACCAUCCUCCAAGGCUAAAUACUCCUGACUGACCGAUAGUGAACCAGUACCGUGAGGGAAAGGCGAAAAGAACCCCGGCGAGGGGAGUGAAAAAGAACCUGAAACCGUGUACGUACAAGCAGUGGGAGCACGCUUAGGCGUGUGACUGCGUACCUUUUGUAU
rnacentral:rRNA from 1 species